AUGACCACGACUUACAUAAUUAUCGGAGGACAAACUCUCUAACCAGGACAUAAGAGAUUCUCUGGUAUGAAAAAGCAAAUUAACUUUGCGAUAUAUUUAGAUCGAUUUAGAGGUGAGAUGGAUAUUUUUUCUUUCUACAGCUAGAGAAGUUAGCCAGAAAGCCCCCUGUUUAAAAGAGAAUCCGCAAGAAGGAUGAGUUCGUUUACAGAGGGAUGGAUUGAUAAUAAGAGUGAUGCUGGCUCUACCAGGAGAAGCAGUGGCAGGGUACUGAAGAUUGGAGCUCCAGACCCUUCAAUGUAGCUGAUGACAGCAAUGUGUUUCUCAAACUGAGAAAAUCCUGAAGAGCUUGAUGGACGAUAACCAGCCACUAAUGGGUCCGCAAGAGGGUACUGAACUAAAAUCCUCAGAUUGGAAUUUGCUGUGCUAACUAUAGGCAUUGUUUGGAGAAGAGCGAACAUUCAAGAUUGUAUUCACCUGUGGGUAGUCCCGGUUCAUAGAGGUGGCAGGAUGGAGAUCGAGCACAGGUGAGUAGAGCAUGGUCAUUCAUGGACUUUCCAAGUGUAGUAGGACUAAACCCUUAGAGCCAGGGAACACUGGGAGAGAGUGAAGACAAUCUCAGAGACUUGGAACCAUGGUCAAGGAAUUACACUCCUGGGAGAGAUUCCUAGAAGUGGAACAUGGAAUCAGAAGUACAAUAAUGUGACUGUGGGUAAAUUUCUAUGACGUAGUCGCAGGAGGACAGGCAAAAGUGCCCUAUAAUUAAAUGAAUGGGCAUCAAAAAGUAAUGAACAGGCUGAAAAUCAGAAGAAAGUCUGGGGAUGCCACUUUUUUUUUGGAAAAAAAAUUGGUUUUUGUUAUUUUAAGUUCCAGGAUACAUGGGUAGAAUGUGCAGGUACACAUGUGCCACAGUGGUUUGCUGCACCUAUCAACCCA